rnacentral:rRNA from 1 species
GACGAACCGCCCGAACGUUAUUCGGAAUCACUGGGCUUAAAGGGAGCGUAGGCGGGCUGCCAAGUCCGGGGUGAAAUCCUCCAGCUUAACUGGAGAACUGCCUCGGAUACUGGAAGUCUCGAGGAGGGUAGGGGCAAGUGGAACCGUGGGUGGAGCGGUGAAAUGACGUUGAUAUCCAUGGGAACUCCGGUGGCGAAGGCGACUUGCUGGAC